UUAAUGCUCCCCGAUUCGUGUGGUACUCUUGCUUCGGCGGGUUUCGUUGGCGAAUCCCAGCAGGCGCGGCACCGCUUGUCCGCUCGCUGGUUGGGCUCGCUUCCCCCAUCCGCAGCUGUUUCAGGACUCGAUUCGAGCCCUCCAUCGCUGUCCAUGGCGGCCUCGACGCCGGCGGCGGGCGUGGAAUCGAAAAUCCGCAUCCCGGGAUUCCAGGGGCUCCAAUCGUCCGUAUUGGUUCCUCUCGGGAGGGAAGUCGGUCCUUUUCCAAUCGGACGCUCUUCGAGGUCUUCCUCCGUUAUCAGAGCCGUCUCCACGGUGAGACCGCGUAUAAAGCCGGAUAAUACUGAAGUAAAGCGGAGCAAGGUUGAGUUGUUUAAGGAGCAAAGCAACUUCCUUAGGUUUCCUUUAAAUGAGGAAUUGCGCUCAGAAGCUCCAAAUAUAAAUGAAGCUGCCACUCAGCUAAUCAAGUUUCAUGGGAGUUAUCAACAGACAAAUAGAGAUGAACGUGGUGCAAAGUCCUACCAGUUUAUGCUCCGUACUAAGAAUCCUUGUGGGAAAGUCCCAAACAAGCUCUACUUGGUUAUGGAUGACCUGGCUGAUGAGUUUGGAAUUGGUACUCUCCGUUUGACCACUAGGCAGACAUUUCAAUUGCAUGGGAUCCUGAAGAAAAACCUACAAACUGUGAUGAGUACUAUUAUUAAGAACAUGGGAUCAACACUUGGUGCAUGUGGCGAUCUUAAUAGGAAUGUAUUAGCCCCUGCAGCACCAUUUGUGAAAAAAGAGUAUGUUUUUGCACAGGUGACUGCAGAAAACAUUGCUGCUCUAUUGACACCUCAAUCUGGAGCAUAUUACGAUUUGUGGGUAAAUGGAGGGAAAAUUUUGUCAGCAGAGCAUCCAGAAGUAGUGAAAGCCCGCAAUGAUAAUUCUCAUGGAACCAACUUCACUGACUCACCUGAGCCCAUUUAUGGCAGCCAAUUCUUGCCUCGAAAGUUUAAGAUUGCUGUGACUGUACCAACAGACAACUCAGUGGAUAUCCUCACCAAUGAUAUUGGUGUUGUACUAGUUUCUAGUGACGAUGGAGAACCUCAAGGCUUUAACAUCUAUGUGGGAGGAGGUAUGGGAAGGACUCAUCGAGUUGGGACAACUUUUCCUCGUUUGGGAGAACCACUAGGCUUUGUCGCCAAAGAAGAUAUUUUAUAUGCUAUAAAAGCUAUUGUUGUUACUCAAAGAGAAAAUGGGAGGAGGGAUGAUAGGAAGUAUAGUCGAAUGAAAUAUUUGAUUAGCACGUGGGGCAUUGAGAAGUUCCGCAGUGUUGUUGAACACUAUUAUGGUAAGAAGUUUGAAAAAUUCAGAGAAUUACCUGAGUGGGAAUUCAAGAGUUACCUUGGAUGGCAUGAACAGGGUGAUGGUGCAAUGUUUUGUGGACUGCAUAUCGAUAAUGGGCGUAUAGGCGGGAAAAUGAAACAAACUUUACGAGAAAUAAUUGAGAAGUAUAAACUGAAUGUCCGAAUUACACCAAACCAGAAUUUGAUCUUGUGUGAUAUUAGACGUUCCUGGAGAAGACCUAUCACCACAGCUCUUGCCCAAGCAGGUUUACUGUUGCCCAGAUACGUUGAUCCUCUUAAUAUAACUUCCAUGGCUUGCCCUGCUCUACCACUAUGUCCGCUUGCAAUAACAGAAGCUGAGAGAGGGAUUCCAGAAAUUCUCAAACGGGUUCGAGCUGUUUUUGAUAAGGUUGGCCUCAAAUACAAUGAGUCCGUAGUGAUAAGAGUGACUGGAUGUCCCAAUGGCUGUGCCAGACCCUACAUGGCUGAACUUGGACUUGUUGGGGAUGGCCCCAACAGCUACCAGAUCUGGCUAGGGGGAGCACCUAACCAGACUACACUGGCAAAGAGCUUUAUGGAUAAGGUGAAGGUCCAUGACUUAGAGAAGGUAUUCGAACCCCUGUUUUACUACUGGAAAACAAAACGGCUCCGUGGUGAAUCAUUUGGCAACUUUUCAGUUAGGAUGGGCUUUGAGAAAUUACAGAAGCUGGUAGAGAGGUGGGAAGGCCCUGUGGAGCCAGCAUCAAGAUUCAACCUAAAACUCUUCGCAGACCGGCAGACAUUUGAGGCGAUGGCAGAGCUUGCAAAGCAGCAGAACAAAUCGGCUCACCAGCUCGCCAUGGAGGUCAUUCGCAACUAUGUUGCUGCCCAGGGCAAUGAAUCAGAUGGACACUGAACAUCAUCUAAGUGUCUUCUAAUGGCUAUGAUAUUUCAAGUAAUCAGAUGGGCACUGCCCAGGGCAAAUCGACGCUGGUACUAGCAAAGGCAAUGUAACAACCUGUCUCUUGCUAGCUGUGUUCAUGUAAAAAAGUCAAUCACAAAUUGGCUCAGUGCUUACCCCUGUAAAACCCCAAAUUGUGCUUUAAUUUUAAGCUUGGUAUCUGAAUGACUGCAGCCAUGUGCCAAAUGCUCUUUUCGGUUAGUUUUGUUUAUGAAUCAUACACCAACUGUUUAAGAUUAUUUGCAAUUGUCUAUCCUUCAAUUGGGCUCUAUGCAUAGUUCAAUCACUAA